rnacentral:rRNA from 1 species
GAUUAACGCUGGCGGCAUGCCUAAUACAUGCAAGUCGAAUGGGUAGCUUGCUAUCCAUGGCGAACGGGUGAGUAACACGUAGGUAACCUGUCUUUAAGACGAGGAUAACCUUUGGAAACGAAGGAUAAUACUGGAUAGGUCGUUAUAGAUCACAUGAUUAAACGAUUAAAGAUUAUAAUGUCACUUAGAGAGGGGCCUGCGGCGCAUUAGCUAGUUGGUGGGGUAAAGGCCUACCAAGGCGAUGAUGCGUAGCCGGACUGAGAGGUUGAACGGCCACAAUGGGACUGAGAACGGCCCAUACUCC